CAGCAGCCGCGGGAAUACCGAGGGUGCAAGCGUUAAUCGGAAUUACUGGGCGUAAAGCGCGCGUAGGUGGUUUGUUAAGUUGGAUGUGAAAUCCCCGGGCUCAACCUGGGAACUGCAUCCAAAACUGGCAAGCUAGAGUAUGGUAGAGGGUGGUGGAAUUUCCUGUGUAGCGGUGAAAUGCGUAGAUAUAGGAAGGAACACCAGUGGCGAAGGCGACCACCUGGACUGAUACUGACACUGAGGUGCGAAAGCGUGGGGAGCAAACAGGAUUAGAUACCCGCGUAGUCCCUGUCUCUUAUAC
rnacentral:rRNA from 1 species